rnacentral:lncRNA from 1 species
CUGCUGUUAUUUUUUAUUUAUUUAUUUUUAUUUUCUUUUUCCCUUUUCCUUUCCUCUAUCAUAUUUCCUUCCCCUUUUGCUAUAGGUUCUGGAACAAAAAGUAACAGUACUUUCAAAACUAUGGGAGACUUCGUAACAUCAGAGAUGGGAAACUAAAAUUUGAGGCUUUGCUGAGGCUGCAGAAACACUGUACAACAUUACGGAAGACAGAGAAUAUAUUCCACGGCCUGAAGGCAGAACUGACACUGAACCUUCUCCACUUUUCUUUGACUAUUUGGCAACAAAAAUUGGCUACUCUUGCAGAAUGUCUGCUGCAUUGGUCAUGUCAGCCAGGAAACGCACAGUCUUCUAACUGAUUAUCAUUAGGUAAUGGGCUGACAUACACAUCCAUGAGGGAGAUGACUAUGAACUGCUGGAGGAAAAAUGAUCAAGAUUGGCCUUGACAUUAGGACAUAUAUGGUAGGUAUUAAUCAACACCAAAUAGAAUUUGAAACGGCAUAUUUGCUCAUAAAACCUGCAAACA